rnacentral:rRNA from 1 species
CAAUAGCGUAUAUUUAAGUUGUUGCAGUUAAAAAGCUCGUAGUUGGAUUUCGGGUGGGACGCAGCGGUCUCGCAUUGCGUUUGUACUGCUGCAGCCCUCCUUCUUGCCGGGGGCGGCCUCUCGGACUUCACUGUCUGGGGGUCAGAAUCGGCGAUGUUACUUUGAGUAAAGUAGAGUGUUCAAAGCAAGCUUACGCUCUGAAUAUAAUAGCAUGGGAUAACACGACAGGACUCUGGCCUAUCGUGUUGGUCUAUAGGACCAGAGUAAUGAUUAAGAGGGACAGUCGGGGGCAUUCGUAUUCCGUUGUCAGAGGUGAAAUUCUUGGAUUUACGGAAGACGAACAUCUGCGAAAGCAUUUGCCAAGGAUGUUUUCAUUGA